AGGACGAACGCUGGCGGCGUGCCUAACACAUGCAAGUGGAGCGACGAACCAGGCUUCGGCCUGGGGCAAAGCCGCGAACGGGUGAGUAACACGUGGGUAACCUGCCCCGAUGAUUGGGACAACCCGAGGAAACUCGGGCUAAUACCAAAUGUGACCUCCGACCGUAAGGUUGAUGGGGAAAGGAAGCUUCGGCCUCCGCAUUGGGAUGGGCCCGCGGCCCAUUAGCUUGUUGGUGAGGUAACGGCUCACCAAGGCGACGAUGGGUAGCUGGUCUGAGAGGACGAUCAGCCACACUGGGACUGAGACACGGCCCAGACUCCUACGGGAGGCAGCAGUGGGGAAUCUUGCGCAAUGGGCGAAAGCCUGACGCAGCCAUGCCGCGUGAAUGAUGAAGGUCUUAGGAUUGUAAAAUUCUUUCAGCGGGGACGAUAAGUGACGGUACCCGCAGAAGAAGCCCGGCUAACUUCGUGCCAGCAGCCGC
rnacentral:rRNA from 1 species